UUAUUACUGAAGACAUUUUUUACAUCAUUAGUUUUUAAUAUAGAUGUUGUUUGCUUCCACUUUACAAUUUACUCUGGUUUGGAGACUGAAGAUGCAACAUGUAGUUGCGUCGAAUGCAGGUUCUGUUAGAAAUAUGCAGGUAUUUUACUGAAUUUUAUACAUAUAUCUAGUAGGAAAAAAAAAACAGUUUUCUACGUUCAUUGAACAGUCCAUUUGUUCCAGUGUUUUUCUAUGUAAGAAAAGCAACAUAACAAAUUCAACAUACUAAUUUUGUUAAUAUAUCUAUUUGGGCAACAAAUUUUUCUUUCUACACUUUUAUCAAGAGAAGAUAAAUAUUAUUGGAAGUCUGCAACAAAGCUGUAACUGAGUGCAAUUCUUCCCCUGUCCUUUACACCCCUAUAUAGAUUCAUAGGGUUUUUUCCAAAAGAGGAGUGUGUCAUGCUGCAGAUGUAGUUUGUAUGAAACUGCCAUAUAAAGGUUGUCCACUAGGUGGUCCAUAAAGACAUACUUAAGAACGCUGGUUCAGGUUUUCAGUCUUCAUAUUUAAGCAUAUACAAAUAAAUGCAAAUAUCUAUUUUAAUAUCAUAUCAUCAGUUAGCAGCUAUGGCUAAAAUGAGUGUAAACAUUUUGCUUCCUCCUCCCAUAUUCAAUAUGUAUUCAUCAAAGAUAAAUAAUCUGAAGAAUAUUUCAUAUGAGAUUCUACUAUGUAUGUAAGCCGCCAGACUUCUUAAAAAGCAAGUCAAUCAAGUGAUUUCAGUAGGGUUACUCACAGAAGUCAAUCCUGUGUAUGUGAAGAAAACCUCAUUUGCAGCUCACAUACUCCAUUUCUACUCCAGGGAUGCCAAAUACUUGGAAGUAAUGCAUUUCAUUGGAACUGUAGUGAUGUUGUCAAAAGUAAAAGUAAAAGUAAUAAUAAUAAUAAUAAAAAAAAAUCCUAGUAAAAAAAUAGCAUUGGCAUAGCUGUAAAUAACAAUACAUGGCACUGACAGGAUUUGGAUUGCAAGCACAAGGCUCAUUUUGCUUCGAGACAGGUUUAGAUUAAAUCUGGGAAUUUACCAUAUGCCUGAAUCUUCCUAUAGAAGGUGGAACACCAUCAAAACUCAGUUGGUGUGCAGCUACUGUGAGAUGAUUACAGCAAGUGGCUUCUCUAGACAACUAGUUCAUGCAGAACCACUUCUGUUUGUUAUUCCCAGACUUGAAAGAAGCAUCAUCAUUACAGAUGACAUGUGCAACUGAAGAAAACUCCAUUCCAUGAAUGUCAUGGAACAGAAGACGUUCUAACAGCAUUCCCUAUCAACCUGAGAUGUAUCAACAGCAAUAAUUUAUUGUGGGGUGUUUUUUUUUCACACUGAGCUUUAAGGAUGAUAAAAUGCAAAGAAAAAAUACAGCGCUAUACACCUGCUGAACGGGUAAUGAUUAUAAGAACCAGGUUAAAAUGAUGAUGUCUGUUUUUCACAUACGCCGGGUGAUCUUUACAUUAAAACUUUCUCAUUAUACAGUAGACAUAUUUUGCAAGAGUUUAGAAACUAAAUGUAAAAAAUUAAACUUUUCAAACAUUUUUAAAAGUUAUAUUCUGUGAUAAAAAGAGGAACUAUGAGUCCAUGAAAUAGAUCUGCAGUCACUAUGCACUUUUUUUAUGUUGCUGUAAUUUUUAGUGCCAUCAGGGUAAAUUUGUAAAUGCAUCGUACUAAUUUCCAUAUUCAUUUUUUACUUAGUUCUCAUUUCAUGUGUGUGAAGUAUGAUUCCAUUAGUCUUCAGUGACUCAUAGAAAAUAUAUCAUGGACUGUGUCUUUUUAUUAAUGAAAGAAAAAACAAGAAUGAAGUUAUAGAGUGUAAUGAGGUUUAGAAAUGAAUUUGCUUCAUCUUAUAGCAGUUCUGCAGAUUCUGACAAGAUUGGCAAUUCUAAACAGUGUGUAGCUUGUAAUACAAACUAUGCCUAAUGAAAAAAUGAUGUAAUCAAAAACUGUAGAAAGACGGGAGACUCAGUAUUUCUCUCUUUCCAUAUGAGAGGAGGCUUCUUCCUAUAAACUAGGGAAUUUAGUUAGGUAUUAACAAAGUUAGCACUGUAACAGAGAAACUGAUACAUUAUUCACAGAGUAGGAGCAGGGGGAGAACAGGUAUUUCCUUCUUGUUGCUGCUUCUGUUACUGAGUUUAAAAGUUCAAUUUAGCUACAGUAUUUUCCAAAAAUGCUUUACAAACUAAAAGGGACAUAGCUGCUUGCUCCAGUGACCUUUUGGAUAGUCCAAACCGGCUGUUUGAUAGGACAUAAAAAUUUAAUACAAGCAUUUUGGACACCAAGCAUGCUAUGUGAUCCUCUGGGUAAAGUUUUGGUUGGAAGAAUUAUUUAAAUUGGCAUGGAGUCAAGACUAAAACCUUCAUAUAAAUUAAAGAAGAUAAUAAUUUUCAUAACUUGCAGUUUAUGACAAAUGACUGUGUAAAGCAAAAACAUGUAAAAAUCGGAAAGGUAAAUCCAAAAAACCAGUUUCAAUUUUUGGCAUCCUGGUAAAACAUACUCAAGGCAAAAGUGUCAUAGGAAAGAUAAAAAAAUACACAAACCACAGGAAAAAUAAAUAAAAAUGCUUUCCCUUUUUUUUUCUGCAGUAGUGGCGAUACUUCCUAUUUGUUCAAAUCUUUCUGGAGUACAAACAAAUAUGGCCUUUAAUACAACAGUCUUUUACACAUUAAGCUUCUAACAGCGAAUUAUCCUCCUACUCCAUCUUCUAAUUUCCUCUUCCUGUCCCAUAUAUAAAACAGCUGGGUGUGGUUGUCCGAUGAGACCAGCUGCUUUGGUCUCCCAGGCUUUUUUACCCCUUCCUGCCUGUUGCAAGAGCUCUGCUCAAUUUAGGGGAAAAGGAGGGAGGAAUGAGAAACCAGUAUAUAGCACCAGGCAUGCCAAAUACCCAGCACCAAGGAAACCUUCCUUCAGAAAGUGAAUUUCUUCCCCAGGACUGUAGGUUUCAAUGAAGAAAGAGAAGGAAAUCUAUUGCAAACGUGGGUUAGCUUAGGAUGGAGAGAACGCAAGACCUGUGUCAAGUCUCCCUGGCCACACAGACUUUUCAGUUCUUUUAUUAUUAGAUGUUCAGCUGUAUGAGUUCAUUGCAACUGAAACCCAAUGUGUUGAAAUACCAGAGGGAAGAUACCCUAGAGCUGAGUUACAAUUCUUAGACAUCUGCGUCAUCUCAGUUGAUGUGUCUGGAGUGGUUUGAAUAAUAUCCACUCUGAAAACCACUUGUGUUAGCUGAGUAACACUCUCACUGUACCUCAACUUGGACUACUGAAAAAAACAGCGUCUUUCUGUAGUGCCUUCUCUUUCAGUUCCCUGUCUGAGCUGGUGCAGCACACUUUGUGCUCAGUUGUGAAAUAUACUUCUUUCUCCUCUCUACACACAUUCUUGUGAAGGUAAA